UACGGAGGGAGCUAGCGUUGUUCGGAAUUACUGGGCGUAAAGCGCACGUAGGCGGCUUUGUAAGUUAGAGGUGAAAGCCCGGGGCUCAACCCCGGAAUUGCCUUUAAGACUGCAUCGCUUGAAUCCGGGAGAGGUGAGUGGAACUGCGAGUGUAGAGGUGAAAUUCGUAGAUAUUCGCAAGAACACCAGUGGCGAAGGCGGCUCACUGGCCCGGUACUGACGCUGAGGUGCGAAAGCGUGGGGAGCAAACAGG
rnacentral:rRNA from 1 species